GACGAACGCUGGCGGCAUGCUUAACACAUGCAAGUCGAACGGAAAGGCCCUGCUUUUGUGGGGUGCUCGAGUGGCGAACGGGUGAGUAACACGUGAGUAACCUGCCCUUGACUUUGGGAUAACUUCAGGAAACUGGGGCUAAUACCGGAUAGGAGCUCCUGCUGCAUGGUGGGGGUUGGAAAGUUUCGGCGGUUGGGGAUGGACUCGCGGCUUAUCAGCUUGUUGGUGGGGUAGUGGCUUACCAAGGCUUUGACGGGUAGCCGGCCUGAGAGGGUGACCGGCCACAUUGGGACUGAGAUACGGCCCAGACUCCUACGGGAGGCAGCAGUGGGGAAUAUUGCACAAUGGGCGGAAGCCUGAUGCAGCAACGCCGCGUGCGGGAUGACGGCCUUCGGGUUGUAAACCGCUUUCGCCUGUGACGAAGCGUGAGUGACGGUAAUGGGUAAAGAAGCACCGGCUAACUACGUGCCAGCAGCCGCGGUGAUACGUAGGGUGCGAGCGUUGUCCGGAUUUAUUGGGCGUAAAGGGCUCGUAGGUGGUUGAUCGCGUCGGAAGUGUAAUCUUGGGGCUUAACCCUGAGCGUGCUUUCGAUACGGGUUGACUUGAGGAAGGUAGGGGAGAAUGGAAUUCCUGGUGGAGCGGUGGAAUGCGCAGAUAUCAGGAGGAACACCAGUGGCGAAGGCGGUUCUCUGGGCCUUUCCUGACGCUGAGGAGCGGAAGCGUGGGGAGCGAACAGGCUUAGAUACCCUGGUAGUCCACGCUGUAAACGGUGGGUACUAGGUGUGGGGUCCAUUCCACGGGUUCCGUGCCGUAGCUAACGCUUUAAGUACCCCGCCUGGGGAGUACGGCCGCAAGGCUAAAACUCAAAGGAAUUGACGGGGCCCCGCACAAGCGGCGGAGCAUGCGGAUUAAUUCGAUGCAACGCGUAGAACCUUACCUGGGUUUGACAUGGAUCGGGAGUGCUCAGAGAUGGGUGUGCCUCUUUUGGGGUCGGUUCACAGGUGGUGCAUGGCUGUCGUCAGCUCGUGUCGUGAGAUGUUGGGUUAAGUCCCGCAACGAGCGCAACCCUUGUUCACUGUUGCCAGCACGUUAUGGUGGGGACUCAGUGGAGACCGCCGGGGUCAACUCGGAGGAAGGUGGGGAUGACGUCAAGUCAUCAUGCCCCUUAUGUCCAGGGCUUCACGCAUGCUACAAUGGCUGGUACAGAGAGUGGCGAGCCUGUGAGGGUGAGCGAAUCUCGGAAAGCCGGUCUCAGUUCGGAUUGGGGUCUGCAACCCGACCUCAUGAAGUCGGAGUCGCUAGUAAUCGCAGAUCAGCAACGCUGCGGUGAAUACGUUCCCGGGGCU
rnacentral:rRNA from 1 species